UUAACACUCUGAGUCGGGACCAAAACAUAUUUCGCGAAACACGAACUCUAUUGUUUUAUUAGCAUGAUUAUAAAUGUAUGUCAAUAACUUUCCAUCAUUUAAUAACCCCAUGCCCUUUGAAUUUUUUUUUGUUAAUUCAUAAAUGGAUGAAACCAAAUACUGAGGGAAGACGUUAGAUUCGUUUCAAAUAUUGGCCAAGCAUUUUUUAAGGCUUCCGGUAGUGAUUCGAUUAUAUCAAUACACUCAGACAUUGCUAAAUUUGUUUUUCAGGUUGAGCCUUUAAUCUUAGCGGAAUGACAAAUACGCCUCAUUAAAAACGUUCUCUCAUUGGCUAGUGUUUGAUUUAGUUUGAUUCAUUAAUACUGCAUAUUCCAUCAGGCGUGUUAACGUGAAGUGGCCUGUUCCCUUUCGAUCAGAAGAGCGAGAACUGUUUCAUAACCCAAGCGAUCGAAACUGAGAUCUUAAAAGGAUGGCAGACAAAGAUGCUGUGUUCAAUGAUAUCAGUAAGUUUGAUGCUUCAAAACUAAAGAAGACUGAGACUAAAGAGAAGAAUACUCUUCCGACCAAGGAAACUAUCGACCAGGAGAAGAAAGCCUGAACUGGUGCCA